rnacentral:rRNA from 1 species
UACGUAGGGUGCGAGCGUUGUCCGGAAUUAUUGGGCGUAAAGAGCUUGUAGGCGGUUUGUCGCGUCUGCUGUGAAAAUCCGGGGCUCAACCCCGGACUUGCAGUGGGUACGGGCAGACUGGAGUGUGGUAGGGGAGACUGGAAUUCCUGGUGUAGCGGUGAAAUGCGCAGAUAUCAGGAGGAACACCGGUGGCGAAGGCGAGUCUCUGGACAGUAACUGACGCUGAGGCACGAAGGCCAGGGGAGCAAACGGG